GACAGAGGUGCCAAGCGUUAGGCGGAAUCACUGGGCUUAAAGCGUGUGUAGGCGGAAUGGUAAGUACCUUGUGAAAUCCCACGGCUCAACCGUGGAACUGCUGGGUAUACUGCUUUUCUUGAGCCACUUAGGGGCUGUCGGAACAAACGGUGGAGCGGUGAAAUGCAUUGAGAUCGGAAAGAACACCAACGGCGAAAGCACUCUGCUGGGCCGACACUGACACUGAGAGACGAAAGCUAGGGGAGCAAAUGGG
rnacentral:rRNA from 1 species